UAGGGAAUCUUCGGCAAUGGACGAAAGUCUGACCGAGCAACGCCGCGUGAGUGAAGAAGGUUUUCGGAUCGUAAAACUCUGUUGUUAGAGAAGAACAAGGACGUUAGUAACUGAACGUCCCCUGACGGUAGCUAACCAGAAAGCCACGGCUAACUACGUGCCAGCAGCCGCGGUAAUACGUAGGUGGCAAGCGUUGUCCGGAUUUAUUGGGCGUAAAGCGAGCGCAGGCGGUUUCUUAAGUCUGAUGUGAAAGCCCCCGGCUCAACCGGGGAGGGUCAUUUGAAACUGGGAGACUUGAGUGCAGAAGAGGAGAGUGGAAUUCCAUGUGUAGCGGUGAAAUGCGUAGAUAUAUGGAGGAACACCAGUGGCGAAGGCGGCUCUCUGGUCUGUAACUGACGCUGAGGCUCGAAAGCGUGGGGAGCAAACAGG
rnacentral:rRNA from 1 species